GUAGAAGGCAAACGUUAUUCGGAUUUACUGGGCGUAAAGCAGGUGCAGACGGCCCCUUAAGUCGGGUGUUAAAUCUCCUGACUCAAUCAGGAGGGGUCAUUCGAUACUAAGGAGCUUGAGGGCAGCAGAGGAAGGCGGAAUUUCCGGUGUAGCGGUGAAAUGCGUAGAUAUCGGGAGGAACACCAGUGGCGAAGGCGGCCUUCUGGGCUGAUCCUGACGUUAAGACCUGAAAGCGUGGGGAGCGAAACGGAUUAGAUACCCGUGUAGUCCACGCCAUAAACUUUGGACACUAGGUAUGGGGAGUAUCGACCCUCUCUGUGCCGAAGCUAACGCUUUAAGUGUCCCGCCUGGGGACUACGGCCGCAAGGCUA
rnacentral:rRNA from 1 species